CAGCCGCCGCGGGAAUACCGAGGGUGCGAGCGUUAAUCGGAUUUACUGGGCGUAAAGCGUGCGUAGGCGGCUUUUUAAGUCGGAUGUGAAAUCCCUGAGCUUAACUUAGGAAUUGCAUUCGAUACUGGGAAGCUAGAGUAUGGGAGAGGAUGGUAGAAUUCCAGGUGUAGCGGUGAAAUGCGUAGAGAUCUGGAGGAAUACCGAUGGCGAAGGCAGCCAUCUGGCCUAAUACUGACGCUGAGGUACGAAAGCAUGGGGAGCAAACAGGAUUAGAUACCCGGGUAGUCCCUGUCUUUAUACA
rnacentral:rRNA from 1 species